rnacentral:rRNA from 1 species
AUUGAACGCUGGCGGCAGGCCUAACACAUGCAAGUCGAGCGGAUGAGGGUUUCUUGCUCCUGGAUUCAGCGGCGGACGGGUGUGUAAUGCCUAGGAUUCUGCCUGGUAGUGGGGGAUAACGUCCGGAAACGGGCGCUACUACCGCAUACGUCGUGCGGCAGAAGGUGGGUGAUCUUCGGACCUCUCGCUGUCGGAUGAGCUUAGGUCGGGUUAGCUAGUUGGUGGGGUAAAGGCCUACCAAGGCGACGAUCCGUAACUGGUCUGAGAGGAUGAUCCGUCACACUGGAACUGAGACACGGUCAAGAGUCCUACGGGAGGCAGCAGUGGGGAAUAUUGGACAAUGGGCGAAAGCCUGAUCCAGCCAUGCCGCGUGUGUGAAGAAGGUCUUCGGAUUGUAAAGCACUUUAAGUGGGGAGGAAGGGCAGUAAGUUAAUACCGUGCUGUUGUGACGUUACCAACAGAAUAAGCACCGGCUAACUUCGUG